rnacentral:rRNA from 1 species
CCUACGGGAGGCAGCAGUGAGGAAUAUUGGUCAAUGGACGAGAGUCUGAACCAGCCAAGUAGCGUGAAGGAUGACUGCCCUAUGGGUUGUAAACUUCUUUUAUAUGGGAAUAAAACGUUCCACGUGUGGGAUUUUGUAUGUACCAUAUGAAUAAGGAUCGGCUAACUCCGUGCCAGCAGCCGCGGUAAUACGGAGGAUCCGAGCGUUAUCCGGAUUUAUUGGGUUUAAAGGGAGCGUAGGUGGAUUGUUAAGUCAGUUGUGAAAGUUUGCGGCUCGACCGUAAAAUUGCAGUUGAAACUGGCAGUCUUGAGUACAGUAGAGGUGGGCGGAAUUCGUGGUGUAGCGGUGAAAUGCUUAGAUAUCACGAAGAACUCCGAUUGCGAAGGCAGUUCACUGGACUGCAACUGACACUGAGGCUCGAAAGUGUGGGUAUCAAACAGGAUUAGAUACCCCAGUAGUC